CUUUCUAAUGACAGCUGCAUGUAGAUCCUGGAUCUGAGCCUAUAAAAACCUAUUUGUCUCUGCAGAGAGCAUCUUCUCCAUUCAGCCUUCUGACUGCCAGGGGAGCCACAAGCAGAGCUGAUCUUGGAAGUAAACGGUACAUAUUGGAAUCAUAAAAUGUCAGUCCAGCCCAUGUCCGUUAGCAAUAGCGGCAGGAGUGUCAGCAUUCAGAUUACCAACCAAACCGACAACUUCAUUCUGCAAAACCCAAAGGUAUGGAACUACAGUGGUUAUGCCGACACCCCGCCUCCGCCCCAAAUCAAUCCAGGGCAGAAUGGAGCCUGUUCCUUCGAUAAAACCUCGGGCUCACUAUGGGGCUCCGCUGGUGUUAUGACUUAUGAACUGUACAAUGAGAGAAAAAACAGCUCCACAGUGAUGUUAGCCAUCAUGUUCUCUGUGCCCCAAGACACCGCAUACAGUAACUGGUUUGCUGUGGGCGUCUUUGAUGUCGACCGUGACUGUGACAAGGAUCUGUACAAUGACAUGUACUAUAAUGAUGAGAAUGGUUUUUUAAGAAGGCAGGCUGGCACACAGAUCAACUACGAAGGGUUGGUGGCCACUAUGAGUGCUGAUGUCAACAGCAUCCUCACGUUGACUGCUACCUUUCUUGAACCUGAGAGCGAUGAAUGACAUGGUAGUUUGGAUGAUGAGGUCUUUCUCAAACAGCUGCAUGUAGAUCCUUCUAGAUUCACUGUCACCAGACAAACUUGUGGCUGGGAUCUAAUAUAUAAUGCUAUUUGAUUUAAUAACAUAAACAAUUAAAAUGAU